GUUUACCAAACUCAGUGGCAAAGAAGGCUCUUGCUUCGUUAUGGUCAACACCUCUGUUUCCUUGAUGCCACAUACAAGACAUCUAAAUAUGCUCUGCAACUUUUUUUUCUUUGUGUGAAAACCAACGUUAAUUACCAAGUCGUUGGCUGUUUUGUCACACAAAGUGAACAGCAAUCAGACAUCAUGGAAGCCCUGGAAAUGUUUAAAGCUUGGACACCUGACUGGAAACCAGCUUUCUUUAUGACAGAUUUUUGCGAUGCAGAAAUUAAUGCAAUUGAAGCAACUUUGAAAGAGAUGGGUUUUGCUUCACCAGGUGGGAAAAAUGCAAUUGGUAAUCGGUACAAAUAAUGGCGUUGAGCGUCAAAACCGUUUACUCAAAGAAUGUCACCUACGUUUCCAAACCGACAAAUCUUUAUCUGGUCUACUUAAAGUACUACACAAUGAUUUCUUACCUGAAGCUUUCAUUAAGUACAUAAAUGAAAACACCACAGCAUCUGGAUUGUAUAAAACUUUCCAUAAAUCAAUACCUGUAUAUCUUCGCAACCGUCCACCUAACAUUGUUAGGCAUUGUAAAAAAGAUUGGAUAGUGCAUUAUCGUUUACUCAUGACAAGAUCAACCGAGUAGACUCUUCUUCAUUUGUUGUCAACAGUAGUUCUGGCAAAGAAAAAUAUGAAGUAUUUUUAGGUGACACUAUACGCUUUCCAAAAUGCACCUGCCCGGACUUUAAAAAGCACUUCCUGCCGUGUAAACAUAUGUUUGCUGUCUUUAAUAACUAUGCAGGCGUACCAUGGGCUUCAUUGCCAAACUGGUUUAGAGAUUCGGUGUAUGUAACAUUAGACAAUGAAAUAAUUUCAACAAAAGAAGCUAAAAGUAAUGAAACACUGAUGCAUCAGUUGAUGUUGAACAUGCACACGCACUCACGGAUGUUGAAGAAUCAAAUAAAAAAUCAGAUAAGCCCAUGAAACAAACAAUAAAUCAAAUAAUUGAAAUGAUGAACAUAUUAAAAGACACAUUAUAUGAUGUCCCUUCACAACAAGCACUUCAAAUUGCAAAAGAUAAGCUGUAUUUGAUUCAGCAAGAUUUGAACACAGUUUGCAAACAUGAAGAAGGGAUUAGAGUUCAAAAGCCGGAUGUUUCGUUGAAGUUGAAAAAAAGAAAAUUGCCAAAAUCUUUUGUGUGUGAUAAGCUGCCACAAAAAUAUCCAAAGACAAACCGGUUUAUUUGUAGGCUUGCUUCUGAUGUAAACCUCCAGACACCAGUUUUAAAGACCGCAGUAAAUGUCAAAAAGCCCAUUCAAAUACUCCCUUGUAAUGCUGUAACUGGUAAACGUAUCACUGACACUGCCUUCCACACUCUGUCACAAUACUCCAACUACUAUCUCUGG